rnacentral:rRNA from 1 species
CUCGUAGGCGGUUCGUCGCGUCCGGUGUGAAAGUCCAUCGCUUAACGGUGGAUCUGCGCCGGGUACGGGCGGGCUGGAGUGCGGUAGGGGAGACUGGAAUUCCCGGUGUAACGGUGGAAUGUGUAGAUAUCGGGAGGAACACCAGUGGCGAAGGCGGCCUACUGGGCACCAACUGACGCUGAGGCUCGAAAGUGUGGGUAGCAAACA